rnacentral:rRNA from 1 species
CUCUUACCCAUGUCUUUUGAGUACCUUCGUUUCCUCGGCGGGUUCGCCCGCCGAUUGGACAAUUUAAACCAUUUGCAGUUGCAAUCAGCGUCUGAAAAAACAUAAUAGUUACAACUUUCAACAACGGAUCUCUUGGUUCUGGCAUCGAUGAAGAACGCAGCGAAAUGCGAUAAGUAGUGUGAAUUGCAGAAUUCAGUGAAUCAUCGAAUCUUUGAACGCACAUUGCGCCCCUUGGUAUUCCAUGGGGCAUGCCUGUUCGAGCGUCAUUUGUACCUUCAAGCUCUGCUUGGUGUUGGGUGUUUGUCUCGCCUCUGCGCGUAGACUCGCCUCAAAACAAUUGGCAGCCGGCGUAUUGAUUUCGGAGCGCAGUACAUCUCGCGCUUUGCAUUCAGAACGACGACGUCCAAA